AGAGAGAGACAUGCGCGCAUAUCAAUAAGCGGAGGAAAAGAAACUAACAAGGAUUCCCCUAGUAACGGCGAGUGAAGCGGGAAGAGCUCAAAUUUGAAAUCUUAAAGGGUUUCCCUUUACGAAUUGUAGUUUAAAGAAGUGUUUUCUGUUGAGGUUUUGGUAAAAGUUCUUUGGAAUAGGACAUCAUAGAGGGUGAGAAUCCCGUAUUUGACCUUUACUUUCAACUUUGUGAUACACUUUCGAAGAGUCGGAUUGUUUGGGAAUGCAGUCCAAAAUGGGUGGUAAAUUUCAUCUAAAGCUAAAUAUUGGCGAGAGACCGAUAGCGAACAAGUACCGUGAGGGAAAGAUGAAAAGAACUUUGAAAAGAGAGUUAAACAGUACGUGAAAUUGUCAAAAGGGAAGCGUUUGACACCAGUGUUGUUUUUCUGAAAAUCAAUUAAAGAACUGUUUAUGCUAAGCUGUUUAGACUUUAUCAGCUAACUGUUUAGUUUUGAGCUUUUCUUUAAUGCACUUUUCAGUUAACAAGUCAACAUCUAUUUCUUUUGCUGUAAAAAAGCUUGAGGAAGGUGGCUUGAGAUUCGUCUUAAGUGUUUAUAGCCUCUUGCCUAUGCAGUCGGAGAGAUUGAGGUCUGCAGCGUAGAUCCUUCGGAGCUAAAUGCAUUUGUGCUAAGUUAUAGCAUUUUAUAGACAACUUGUUGACUAUGAUUUGUCUUGUAGCUUACUCGCUUAUGUUAUUUUACCUACGCUUAGGAUGUUGAGCGCAUGUCUCUCUCU
rnacentral:rRNA from 1 species